CUCCACCAGCGACGGCAGGGAGGUCUCCGGCGACACCACAACAACAUACGGAAAGCCCAGCAGCUCCGGUGAUGGAUCUUCGGCGACGGUGGAGGAAAGGGGGCAACCCUCCACAGCGGCGAGCCCAACCUCGUGGUGGCGACGGCAACCCCGCGGCAGCUCCUUUUUCGCACAUUCUCUCUCUCUCUGUGCGUAUGGCCAGCAGUGGCGGUAGGGACAGGUUCGACGGCGGAAAUCCGAUAAAGCCGGCGGCGCUGUGCUUCCUCCACGCUUGCGAGCUCGACGGCGGCGAUGCGGCAUGGGCGCGGUGGCGAUGAA